AAAGUAACGUGUAGCCAAGGACAACUUGCCGAUCAUGUUACUUUUUCUUCUUUUUGGCUAUAUUAUCCAUUCUAAUUUCUUCCUGAUCUUUUUCAAGAACUAAAGAAUUUGAAACUAAAGUUUUCUUCAUAGAGUAUAUAUAUAAAAAAGAAAGAUCAUUUUAAAUCGGCAAGUCAUCCUUGGCUGCACACUACUUUCG
rfam:Capsella rubella cultivar Monte Gargano unplaced genomic scaffold scaffold_3, whole genome shotgun sequence.